rnacentral:misc_RNA from 1 species
UACGAAGGGCCCAAGCGUUAAUCGGAAUCACUGGGCUUAAAGGGUGCGCAGGCGGGCUUGCAAGUACUUGGUGAAAUCCCACGGCUCAACCGUGGAACUGCUGAGUAAACUGCAAGCCUUGAGCCCGACAGAGGUCGUCGGAACUCUAGGUGGAGCGGUGAAAUGCGUAGAUAUCUAGAGGAACGCCAAAGGUGAAGACAGACGACUGGGUCGGCGCUGACGCUGAGGCACGAAAGCGUGGGUAGCGAACAGG